GCUAGUUGAUCGGGCAUCACCUCCGUCGGCGACAUCACCUCCCCAAAGGCAUCACAUCCGUCGCCGGGAUCACCUCCUCCCCUUCAGGGUGAUUUUCUGAUGAUCUAUACCAUCGCCUGAUUGGAUUUAUGGUGCAGGAGAUCGACGCGCUGCGUCGAGAGCUGGUAGGAGUUAUAUCAUGGGAGGUCGGCACGCUGCGUCGAGAACUGAUAGGAGUUAUAUCAGAGGAGGUCGGUGCGCUGCGUCAAGAUAUGGUGGAGCGAGUCGAUGAUCUGGGACGCCAGUUGGUAGGGAAGGUCGAGGAUAUAGCUGAUGAUGUUAGAGUGCUACGUGGGCAUUUAGGAAACCUUGAGGAUGAGGUCAUAGCACUCUGAGGUGGUAUAGCAGGCAGACGAUGGGGGUGACGACUAGGAGGGUGAACGAGAGGAGAAUAAAGAUGGGGUCACCAUCAGUCGUGGUCGGAGGAUGCAUUGGAAUUCUUUUUUCAGUCCAUGGAGGAUAGGGUGACCCCGAGGGUGGAUGAGGGGAUAGCCCCGUUGGGGACGGGAGCGACGAUCGAGGACGUGGUGCUGAUGAGGGCAUAUGAGGGGGUCGAGAAGGUAGUAAUGACAGGGCAGAUGAGGGGGUGGGCCUAUCAAGGACGGGAGCUAUGGUUGAGGAGGUGGUGACGACGAUGACAGAGGAUGAGGUGGCGGUUGUCUAGCGGAGGAGAGGACGAUCCAAGAGGUGGACGAGGGGAGGACGACCAUCGUGACUGGAGCGAAAAAGAGUGCUGUUGAUGUGGCGAAGCUGGUGGUAGACAUGAGGCCGAGAGUGACGUCAUAGUACAUUAUCUCUCCCUUCACGGCUGAGACAAAGAAGAGUAGGUUCGUCGAUGGGACGAUCCCCAACCUAUUUCGGGAGGUGGACCAUGCUAAAUGGAAAGCGUUCGAGACAGAGUAGAGAAGAAUGUUGGCCGAGACCAGCCGUACGAUUGGUACUGUGACGAUCUCCGAUGCUUAUAAGUGGUUCCACGACAUCAUCACUUCAGGAGCUUGGCUUGACGACGAUCACAUCGACCAGGCCAUGGACUUGUUGCAUGAUAUGGUUCAAAGAUAUCCGGGGUCUUUUGACGGUUACGAAAUAUUUGUAAACACUGUAAUUGAUUAUUAAAUUACGACGUUCUUUGAAAUAUCAUAAAAUAAAUGCAAACACUGUUAUUUCAAAUGGACAACAUUACCAAAUGAUCUAACUGUCA